UCACCACGCUAGUGUGCGUUAUGCUUUGACUUUUGUGACUAUGGAAUAUUACCUCUAGUAAAAGCCUUUUUUGGAAACUCUUUUUGUGUCGAGUCGUGCAUUUGGGUUUUAUCGUUUUAUUGUGCCCCAGACGUAACAAUUUGUUGUAAUUUAAGUUACUGUGUAUAAACAACAACAAAAAUGGUACGUUUUCUGGAUCAUGGAGGGCCUGAUCUUGGAGUAUGUUUGGAGUAAGAUCACUCUGCAUGGCACUUGCCAAAGAAGGAAAAAAAUAUGCCGGUCACAGGGUCCUGUUUGCUUACGUGAGGAUCCAUAAUGCAUGGUUUGUAUCGUUUACUUGAGGGACUCCCUGUGCCACUCAUCACUUCCUACUCUGUAUGUGACAGGGAGGCCAAAGGAGAGAGGAGAUAACCAAGUGUCAGGGGACCAUGGCACCUGCUGAUGAAGAAAUCAAGUCAGUGAGUCCUCCCGUGGUCACAAGCUGCCCUCGUACCCCAGGAGUCUAUCUCACCAGUCUGUCAUAUUGGCCGGUGGUCACCGCUCAACGGCCAGAGUCUGAUCACAUAUAUGUUUCAUUUUGUCUUUUUCUGACUGCCUAUGAGUUGCUUUUUAUUCAGUCAAAGACACCUACAUUUUUAAGACAGACAUUUAUAGAAAAAGGGGACAGAAUAUGAAUGCACGAUAUUUUUAAAUAAGCUGUAAGUUAUCCUAGCCUAAUUGGUGCAACAAUUAGGAGCUGCAGCGGGAAACAAUGGGAAGGAGACGAUAAUUACUCACCGUAUGUCCACGCUCCCACACAGUCAUGAGAAUAACUUUAAUCGAAACAAAUAACUGAAACAUGUGUGGGUGGACUGUUGAUGUGUAGCUGAUUCAUUGCCCUCUUGUUGCUGCAUUCCCAAAUUAGUAAAUUGCUGCAACAAUUACCCAAAACAGUUAUUAAUUGGGAUGGAAGUUACAAUAUAAUUUACAACAACAACAAAAAACACAAUACAGUUCAUGUGAGGCAAACUACACAAUGUGUGCACCCAGUAAUCAACCCAUAGUUCCUUCCUUUACUUAUCUAUGAAUUGCACUUGUUUAACUGUAUCCGUAUAACUGUAUCCGUAUCCGUGUACAGUU